UGAAUGUCACUUCAGUCCAUGAUUUACUC
rnacentral:piRNA from 1 species